AUUGAACGCUGGCGGCAGGCCUAACACAUGCAAGUCGAACGAGUGGCGGACGGGUGAGUAAUGUCUGGGAAACUGCCUGAUGGAGGGGGAUAACUACUGGAAACGGUAGCUAAUACCGCAUACCAUCAGAUGUGCCCAGAUGGGAUUAGCUUGUUGGGGGGGUAACGGCUCACCAAGGCGACGAUCCCUAGCUGGUCUGAGAGGAUGACGAGCAACACUGGAGCUGAGACACUGUCCAGACUCCUACGGGAGGCAGCAGUGGGUAAUAUUGCACAAGGGGCGCAAGCGUGUAGCAGCCAUGCCGCGUGUAUGAAGAAGGCCUUCGGGUUGUAAAGUACGUUCAGCGGGGAGGCGGUACCCGCAGAAGAAGCACCGGCUAACUCCGUGCCAGCAGCCGCGGUAAUAC
rnacentral:rRNA from 1 species